UUUAUUUAGUAGAACUUAGUUUUUUUGCGAGAAGCCUAUAUUGAUCCAAUCUGCAGCUUUCUGAGGUUAUCGUGUUGCUAGGCUAACGUUCAUAUAUUUUGGUGGGUUGAAUGUAAAAAGCAGCCGAGCACUCGUACCUCUCGUGCUGGGGGGGAGCACGGUCCUGACAGCAGUUUGGCCCUGAGCAAGAAAACUCCCAGCCUUCUGUUCCAUCUCCAUCAUGACAAGGAAUUGUGUGGGAUAACAGUCACAGCCACAUUUCCCAAGGCUAGCAGUGAAGAAGUGAGGACACGUGGCUUCCUGCUGAGCUGAGAAGCCCCCCGCCCCAAGCUACAGCUGGUUGCUUCCAGUGAAGUUGUCAACGUAACAGAAACCCUUUGGUAAAACCCACAAAUUCACAAGAAGCGCAGAUAGUUUCUAGCAUUGUGAAGAAUGACGCUAAUAAUGGAUCAUAACUCUAACAGACCACAAAACUCUAGUUUAGCAGCCAUGUUUGGUCAUCUGAUGUUGAAAUGCAAACAGAACUCAUUAACGAUUCUUCAAAUACAUUCAGACAUGGAUUAUUUUACAGUGUAAGUUUCUGGAACGUGGAGACAUAACUAUUAAA